rnacentral:rRNA from 1 species
UACAGAGGGUGCGAGCGUUGUUCGGAAUUAUUGGGCGUAAAGGGCGCGUAGGCGGUCGGGUAAGUCACCUGUGAAAUCUCCUGGCUCAACUGGGAGUCUGCAGGCGAAACUGCUUGACUGGAGUAUGGGAGAGGUGCGUGGAAUUCCCGGUGUAGCGGUGAAAUGCGUAGAGAUCGGAAGGAACACCAGAGGCGAAAGCGGCGACCUGGAUAGGCACUGACACUCAACUGCGAAAGCGUGGGGAGCAAACAGG